GAUGAACGCUGGCGGCGUGCCUAAUACAUGCAAGUCGAGCGAACAGACGAGGAGCUUGCUCCUCUGACGUUAGCGGCGGACGGGUGAGUAACACGUGGAUAACCUACCUAUAAGACUGGGAUAACUUCGGGAAACCGGAGCUAAUACCGGAUAAUAUAUUGAACCGCAUGGUUCAAUAGUGAAAGACGGUUUUGCUGUCACUUAUAGAUGGAUCCGCGCCGCAUUAGCUAGUUGGUAAGGUAACGGCUUACCAAGGCAACGAUGCGUAGCCGACCUGAGAGGGUGGUCGGCCACACUGGAACUGAGACACGGUCCAGACUCCUACGGGAGGCAGCAGUAGGGAAUCUUCGGCAAUGGGCGAAAGCCUGACGGAGCAACGCCGCGUGAGUGAUGAAGGUCUUCGGAUCGUAAAACUCUGUUAUUAGGGAAGAACAAAUGUGUAAGUAACUAUGCACGUCUUGACGGUACCUAAUCAGAAAGCCACGGCUAACUACGUG
rnacentral:rRNA from 1 species